GCGAAAGUGCGCACAGCCACUACAGUGAAACUGCAAAUGGCUCAUUAAAUCAUUUAUGGUUCCUUUGAUCGCUCCAUCUGUUACUUGGAUAACUGUGGUAAUUCUAGAGCUAAUACAUGCCGACGAGCGCUAGGGAAUGCCUGCUUCUCUGGGUAAUUGCAUUUUUAAGAUGUAGACUUAUUUUAUCACACUAGCCAUGCACAGGUAGAUUGUCUGGCACAUUGUUUUGGUGUUUGGUUUUUAACUUUGUAGUAUAGAAAUGUAUAUUAAUGCUUCUGUAUAUGAAGCGAUCACAGAA